rnacentral:rRNA from 1 species
CCUACGUGAGGCAGCAGUGAGGAAUAUUGGUCAAUGGGCUUACGCCUGAACCAGCCAAGUCGCGUGAGGGAAGACUGCCCUAUGGGUUGUAAACCUCUUUUGUCAGGGAGCAACGCCGGCUACGUGUAGCCGGACUGAGAGUACCUGAAGAAAAAGCAUCGGCUAACUCCGUGCCAGCAGCCGCGGUAAUACGGAGGAUGCGAGCGUUAUCCGGAUUUAUUGGGUUUAAAGGGUGCGUAGGCGGAAUGCCAAGUCAGCGGUAAAAUCGCGGGGCUCAACCUCGCUCCGCCGUUGAAACUGGCGUUCUUGAGUGGGCGAGAAGUAUGCGGGAUGCGUGGUGUAGCGGUGAAAUGCAUAGAUAUCACGCAGAACUCCGAUUGCGAAGGCAGCAUACCGGCGCCCAACUGACGCUGAAGCACGAAAGCGUGGGUAUCGAACAGGAUUAGAUACCCCGGUAGUC